rnacentral:rRNA from 1 species
AGUGAACGCUGGCGGUAGGCCUAACACAUGCAAGUCGAACGGCAGCACAGUAAGAGCUUGCUCUUACGGGUGGCGAGUGGCGGACGGGUGAGGAAUACAUCGGAAUCUACUUUUUCGUGGGGGAUAACGUAGGGAAACUUACGCUAAUACCGCAUACGACCUACGGGUGAAAUCAGGGGAUCUUAGGACCUUGCGCGAUUGAAUGAGCCGAUGUCGGAUUAGCUAGUUGGCGGGGUAAAGGCCCACCAAGGCGACGAUCCGUAGCUGGUCUGAGAGGAUGAUCAGCCGCACUGGAACUGAGACACGGUCCAGACUCCUACGGGAGGCAGCAGUGGGGAAUAUUGGACAAUGGGCGCAAGCCUGAUCCAGCCAUACCGCGUGGGUGAAGAAGGCCUUCGGGUUGUAAAGCCCUUUUGUUGGGAAAGAAAAGCAGCAGGUUAAUACCCCGCUGUUCUGACGGUACCCAAAGAAUAAGCACCGGCUAACUCCGUG